AAUUCAAUAAGGAAGGCUUC
rnacentral:misc_RNA from 1 species